rnacentral:misc_RNA from 1 species
GGUACAUCCCCUCGAAUUUUCUCCCGUCUUCGUCAAAAAACCCCUAUCACCCCUCUGUUUCCCUUUUCUCUUUGUCUUACAAAUAUCAUUCACAAAGCAACAAAAAUCUUUGAACUAUUUGGGUUUUCAUCUGGACGAUGCGAUUCUACCGAAACUGUGAUUCCGACUGUUGCUGCCGCCGCCGCUGCUUCUUCUCUUGUUACUGUUGUUGCUGUCAUUAAUUUUCCGACGGGUUAGGGUUAUAUCUUUGUUUUCAUUUCUGAAUUGUUGGACUUUUGAUUUGUUUGUAGCAAAUUGUGAUGGAUUUGAGUCAAUCUCAAUCGAGUAAUCUGUCGUUAGGGUUUAGUAGUCAUGUCUCGCCGGUGAUGAGCGCACCCAAUCGGUCUCAUAUCGUCGAUGAUUCGAUUGCUUUUCAGAUCGAUUCUAGGGUUAAGGACCAAUCGUACCCGGGUACGCCGGUUCCACUUCAACUGAUGGAUAAACAAACGAAGGAGAAUGGGAAGGAGGGGGGAGAGAGUGCGGAUGAGGAGAGGGAUGUUGAGGAGUUUCGAAUUUUAGGGCAUUCCAUGUGUAUUAAGCGGAAGAGAGAUACUGAUGCGAGUUCAUCUUCUUCCUCUUCGAAGAGUUUUAAGGUUACGAGUUCUAAUGAGAAUUUGCUUGGGCUUGAGUCACGAAGAAAUGCGGUUAGGGCCUGG